GGUCAGCGACUUAUAUUCUGUAGCAAGGUUAACCGAAUAGGGGAGCCGGAGGGAAACCGAGUCUUAAUUGGGCGUUAAGUUGCAGGGUAUAGACCCGAAACCCGGUGAUCUAGCCAUGGGCAGGUUGAAGGUUGGGUAACACUAACUGGAGGACCGAACCGACUAAUGUUGAAAAAUUAGCGGAUGACCUGUGGCUGGGGGUGAAAGGCCAAUCAAACCGGGAGAUAGCUGGUUCUCCCCGAAAGCUAUUUAGGUAGCGCCUCGUGAAUUCAUCUCCGGGGGUAGAGCACUGUUUCGGCUAGGGGGCCAUCCCGGCUUACCAACCCGAUGCAAACUGCGAAUACCGGAGAAUGUUAUCACGGGAGACACACGGCGGGUGCUAACGUCCGUCGUGAAGAGGGAAACAACCCAGACCGCCAGCUAAGGUCCCAAAGUCAUGGUUAAGUGGGAAACGAUGUGGGAAGGCCCAGACAGCCAGGAUGUUGGCUUAGAAGCAGCCAUCAUUUAAAGAAAGCGUAAUAGCUCACUGGUCGAGUCGGCCUGCGCGGAAGAUGUAACGGGGCUAAACCAUGCACCGAAGCUGCGGCAGCGACACUCAGGUGUUGUUGGGUAGGGGAGCGUUCUGUAAGCCUGUGAAGGUGGCCUGUGAGGGUUGCUGGAGGUAUCAGAAGUGCGAAUGCUGACAUAAGUAACGAUAAAGCGGGUGAAAAGCCCGCUCGCCGGAAGACCAAGGGUUCCUGUCCAACGUUAAUCGGGGCAGGGUGAGUCGACCCCUAAGGCGAGGCCGAAAGGCGUAGUCGAUGGGAAACGGGUUAAUAUUCCCGUACUUGGUGUUACUGCGAAGGGGGGACGGAGAAGGCUAUGUUGGCCGGGCGACGGUUGUCCCGGUUUAAGCGUGUAGGCUGGUUUUCCAGGCAAAUCCGGAAAAUCAAGGCUGAGGCGUGACGACGAGGCACUACGGUGCUGAAGCAACAAAUGCCCUGCUUCCAGGAAAAGCCUCUAAGCAUCAGGUAACAUCAAAUCGUACCCCAAACCGACACAGGUGGUCAGGUAGAGAAUACCAAGGCGCUUGAGAGAACUCGGGUGAAGGAACUAGGCAAAAUGGUGCCGUAACUUCGGGAGAAGGCACGCUGACACGUAGGUGAAGUGAUUUACUCAUGGAGCUGAAGUCAGUCGAAGAUACCAGCUGGCUGCAACUGUUUAUUAAAAACACAGCACUGUGCAAACACGAAAGUGGACGUAUACGGUGUGACGCCUGCCCGGUGCCGGAAGGUUAAUUGAUGGGGUCAGCGCAAGCGAAGCUCCUGAUCGAAGCCCCGGUAAACGGCGGCCGUAACUAUAACGGUCCUAAGGUAGCGAAAUUCCUUGUCGGGUAAGUUCCGACCUGCACGAAUGGCGUAAUGAUGGCCAGGCUGUCUCCACCCGAGACUCAGUGAAAUUGAACUCGCUGUGAAGAUGCAGUGUACCCGCGGCAAGACGGAAAGACCCCGUGAACCUUUACUAUAGCUUGACACUGAACAUUGAGCCUUGAUGUGUAGGAUAGGUGGGAGGCUUUGAAGUGUGGACGCCAGUCUGCAUGGAGCCGACCUUGAAAUACCACCCUUUAAUGUUUGAUGUUCUAACGUGGACCCGUAAUCCGGGUUGCGGACAGUGUCUGGUGGGUAGUUUGACUGGGGCGGUCUCCUCCUAAAGAGUAACGGAGGAGCACGAAGGUUGGCUAAUCCUGGUCGGACAUCAGGAGGUUAGUGCAAUGGCAUAAGCCAGCUUGACUGCGAGCGUGACGGCGCGAGCAGGUGCGAAAGCAGGUCAUAGUGAUCCGGUGGUUCUGAAUGGAAGGGCCAUCGCUCAACGGAUAAAAGGUACUCCGGGGAUAACAGGCUGAUACCGCCCAAGAGUUCAUAUCGACGGCGGUGUUUGGCACCUCGAUGUCGGCUCAUCACAUCCUGGGGCUGAAGUAGGUCCCAAGGGUAUGGCUGUUCGCCAUUUAAAGUGGUACGCGAGCUGGGUUUAGAACGUCGUGAGACAGUUCGGUCCCUAUCUGCCGUGGGCGCUGGAGAACUGAGGGGGGCUGCUCCUAGUACGAGAGGACCGGAGUGGACGCAUCACUGGUGUUCGGGUUGUCAUGCCAAUGGCACUGCCCGGUAGCUAAAUGCGGAAGAGAUAAGUGCUGAAAGCAUCUAAGCACGAAACUUGCCCCGAGAUGAGUUCUCCCUGAGACUUUAGGUCUCCUGAAGGAACGUUGAAGACGACGACGUUGAUAGGCCGGGUGUGUAAGC
rnacentral:rRNA from 1 species